rnacentral:rRNA from 1 species
GUAGGUGGCAAGCGUUGUCCGGAAUUAUUGGGCGUAAAGCGCGCGCAGGCGGUCCUUUAAGUCUGAUGUGAAAGCCCACGGCUCAACCGUGGAGGGUCAUUGGAAACUGGGGGACUUGAGUACAGAAGAGGAAAGCGGAAUUCCAAGUGUAGCGGUGAAAUGCGUAGAGAUUUGGAGGAACACCAGUGGCGAAGGCGGCUUUCUGGUCUGUAACUGACGCUGAGGCGCGAAUGCGUGGGGAGCAAACAGGGAUUAGAUACCCUGGUAGUCCACGCCGUAAACGAUGAGUGCUAAGUGUUAGGGGGUUUCCGCCCCUUAGUGCUGCAGCUAACGCAUUAAGCACUCCGGCCUGGGGAUACGGCCGCAAGGCUG